rnacentral:rRNA from 1 species
UACUGCGUGGAGGAUGAAGGCUCGUGGGCUGUAAACUCCUUUUCCUAGAGAAGAAGUCUGACGGUAUCUAGGGAAUAAGCAUCAGCUAACUGCGUGCCAGCAGCUGCGGUAAUACGUGGGAUGCAAGCGUUAUCCGGAUUUAUUGGGCGUAAAGCGUCUGUAGGUGGCUUCGCAAGUUUGUUGUUAAAUCAUUCAGCUUAACUGAAUCCAGCAGCAAAAACUAUGAAGCUUGAGUGCGGUAGAGGAAAAGGGAAUUCCCUGUGGAGCGGUGAAAUGCGUAGAGAUAGGGAAGAACACCAAUGGCGAAAGCACUUUUCUGGGCCUGCACUGACAUUGAGAGACGAAAGCUAGGGGAGCGAGUAGGAUUAGAUACCCUAUUAGUCCUAGCCGUAAACGAUGGAAACUACAUUUUGGAGCUCUAGGAGCUCAGCUUCGUAUUCUUCAGAAUGGUAGCUAACGCGUUAAGUUUCCCGCCUGGGAAGUAUGCUCGCAAGAGUGAAACUCAAAGGAAUUGACGGGAGCCCGCACAAGCGGUGGAGCAUGUGGUUUAAUUCGAUGCAA